UACAGAGGUCCCGAGCGUUGUUCGGAUUCACUGGGCGUAAAGGGUGCGUAGGUGGCGAUGAAAGUUCGAUGUGAAAUCUCCGGGCUUAACCCGGAAAAGGCAUUGAAAACUAUGUUGCUUGAGGUUUGGAGGGGGGACUGGAAUUCUUGGUGUAACAGUGAAAUGCGUAGAUAUCAAGAGGAACACCAGUGGCGAAGGCGGGUCCCUGGACAACACCUGACACUGAGGCACGAAAGCUAGGGGAGCAAACAGG
rnacentral:rRNA from 1 species